rfam:Bombyx mori DNA, contig: Bm_scaf86_contig33817, strain: p50T/Dazao, build 2, whole genome shotgun sequence.
UUAGCUCAUAUUUGUAUGGAGCUGGAACGUUUGCCUACGUUUGCCGCUAGGGGCGCUGUUCCAACUGCAUACAAAUUUGCGUUA